GGGUGGUGAAGCCAGUGCUGAUUUUCACUGUUGACGGAGGUCCUUACGAAAAUCCCCGUUACCAAAAAGUCAUUGCCUACGCUGUGCAACAUUUUUUGAACCACAAUUUGGACUAUAUUGCAAUAGCAUGCAAUGCACCUGGACGCAGUGCGUUUAACCGUGUUGAAAGGAGAAUGGCACCACUCAGUCACCAGCUUGCAGGAUUAAUAAUUCCACACGAUAAAUUUGGCAGUCAUCUCGAUACCCAGCGGCGCACUGCAGACGUCGAUUUAGAGAAAAAGAAUUUUAAAUGUGCUGGGGAAACGCUUGCUAACGUUUGGAACGAGAUGGUCAGCGGGGAAAGCGUAGUGGCAGAGUAUAUCUGUCCAGAUAAACCAGAUCCGGAGAUUGGCACCCAUCCUGGACCUGAAUGGUACACCAAGCACGUUAAGGAGUCUCAAUAUAUGUUACAGAUUUCCAAAUGCUCAGAUCUGGCUUGCUGCACAAUGUCACGUAGCAAAUUACGCAAGAUCCUCCCUGAUGGAUUUAUGCCGCCACCCCUGCUGCUUACAUCAAAUCUGGAAGCAGCGCCUCCUUUAAAAGAGGAUAGCACUGAAAGUGGAUGUACCUCUUGGACAUUUUAAGAAACUUCCAUAUGACUUCUACUGUCCUACGUUACAAGGCGAGCUAAUAGAAAGAUGCUGUUCGAAAUGUGGUACUUACUUUGCUUCAAAAACCUCCAUGAAGGAGCACAAAAAAAAUAUGAAAGAUUAUGUACACGGUUCCCCGGAUCAGUGUUUAUUGGAACAGGAAACAGGACGUCCUGCGGCCCCUCGUCGUAGUGCUCGAAUCUUGGGACGGCGAGGAAUAGAAGUCCUUCAACAGUUGCAUGACGGCGUAACGGGACAGGCACUUGACGUUGAGUGGGUUGAAGACGUGGAUGAAUCGAGCCAAACCGAAUAUUAAGAAAUGACGA